rnacentral:snRNA from 1 species
GUGCUCACUUGGCAGCACAUAGACUAAAAUUGGAAUGAUACAGAGGAGAUUAGCAUGGCCGUGUGCAAGGCUGGCCCGCAAAUUCAUGAAGUGUUCCAUAAGUUU